rnacentral:lncRNA from 1 species
GGACCGGGAGUGGAGGCCAGCAGUUGUGCUUUGGUGUUCGCACGUGGCGGCAAUGAGGCUGGCUUGACACCGGAGUCGGUCGGAUUUGGAGCAAAGACGUGGUACUGCAGCGCGGGGCGAAGUGGUAGCUCAGCGGUGCGCGUGGGUGGGUGGUCCUAUGGUGGGCUGCGCGUGGGCUCGCAGGUAGCAAAGUGGGACGCGCCGCCCUGGCUUUGCUGUGGUUGUGUCUGGCCCUUCCACCCUAACCUUUUCUUAGGUGAUGAUGCAAAUCUGCGUGGCUUGGUGGCAUCGUGGUGGCGCAGCCAAGGGUGGUCUGCGUGGGGCUCGCCGACGGCACCAUGGUGGUGCGAUUGGCGUCGGCCUGCAUGGGGCACGUUAGCGGCACCAUGGAGG